UCAGGCCUAACACAUGCAAGUCGAACGGUAACAGGAAGCAGCUUGCUGCUUCGCUGACGAGUGGCGGACGGGUGAGUAAUGUCUGGGAAACUGCCUGAUGGAGGGGGAUAACUACUGGAAACGGUAGCUAAUACCGCAUAACGUCGCAAGACCAAAGAGGGGGACCUUCGGGCCUCUUGCCAUCGGAUGUGCCCAGAUGGGAUUAGCUAGUAGGUGGGGUAACGGCUCACCUAGGCGACGAUCCCUAGCUGGUCUGAGAGGAUGACCAGCCACACUGGAACUGAGACACGGUCCAGACUCCUACGGGAGGCAGCAGUGGGGAAUAUUGCACAAUGGGCGCAAGCCUGAUGCAGCCAUGCCGCGUGUAUGAAGAAGGCCUUCGGGUUGUAAAGUACUUUCAGCGGGGAGGAAGGGAGUAAAGUUAAUACCUUUGCUCAUUGACGUUACCCGCAGAAGAAGCACCGGCUAACUCCGUGCCAGCAGCCGCGGUAAU
rnacentral:rRNA from 1 species